GACGAACGCUGGCGGCGUGCUUAACACAUGCAAGUCGAGCGGUAAGGCCCUUUCGGGGUACGACGAGCGGCGAACGGGUGGAGUAACACGUGGGUGGACCUCGCCCUCCAGCUCUGGGAGUAAAGCCUCGGGAAACCGGGGUACCGUAAUAACCGGAUAUGACUCCAUGACGCAUGUUGUGGGGUGGAAAGCCUUGUGCGGCUGAGGAUGGGCCCGGCCGGCCUAUCAGCUUGUUGGUGGGGUGAUGGCCUACCAAGGCGACGACGGGUAGCCGGCCUGAGAGGGCGACCGGCCACACUGGGACUGAGACACGGCCCAGACUCCUACGGGAGGCAGCAGUGGGGAAUCUUGCGCAAUGGGCGAAAGCCUGACGCAGCGACGCCGCGUGAGGAUGACGGCC
rnacentral:rRNA from 1 species